rnacentral:rRNA from 1 species
AUACGAAGGGGGCUAGCGUUGUUCGGAAUUACUGGGCGUAAAGCGCACGUAGGCGGAUUUGUAAGUCAGGGGUGAAAUCCCGGGGCUCAACCUCGGAACUGCCUUUGAUACUGCAAGUCUUGAGUCCGGAAGAGGUGAGUGGAAUUCCUAGUGUAGAGGUGAAAUUCGUAGAUAUUAGGAAGAACACCAGUGGCGAAGGCGGCUCACUGGUCCGGUACUGACGCUGAGGUGCGAAAGCGUGGGGAGCAAACAGGAUGAGAUACCCUGGUAGUCCACGCCGUAAACUAUGGAUGCUAGCCGUCGGCAAGCUUGCUUGUCGGUGGCGCAGCUAACGCUUUAAGCAUCCCGCCUGGGGAGUACGGCCGCAAGGUUAAA